rnacentral:rRNA from 1 species
GGAAACUUCGUCAAACUUGGUCAUUUAGAGGAAGUAAAAGUCGUAACAAGGUUUCCGUGUGAACCUGCGGAAGGAUCAUU